rnacentral:lncRNA from 1 species
UUUGAGGCUAGGCUCCCUUUUAAAUUAAUUAGAACUGAUAAGGAUUAAUUAUAAAUUAACUAAUUGUGUUUCUGGGCCUGAAUACAAAUGGGCCCAGUAAUUGAAUCAGGCCACGGGCCUGAUCCAGAAACCAAUUAAACUUUGGGCCUGAAUGCAAAUGGGCCCUGACCUGAACCAGAGAGCAAUUGGGUCAAACCCGAACCAGAAGGUG